rnacentral:snRNA from 1 species
AAAGAAACUAACAAGGAUUCCC